rnacentral:tRNA from 1 species
GCUGGUGUGGCUCAGUGGAUAGAGCAUCUGCCUGCAGACUGAAGGGUCCCAGGGUUUGAUUCCUGCACAUGCC